rnacentral:rRNA from 1 species
UACGAAGGGGGGCUAGCGUUGCUCGGAAUCACUGGGCGUAAAGCGCACGUAGGCGGACUCUUAAGUCAGGGGUGAAAUCCUGGAGCUCAACUCCAGAACUGCCUUUGAUACUGGGAGUCUUGAGUUCGGGAGAGGUGAGUGGAACUGCGAGUGUAGAGGUGAAAUUCGUAGAUAUUCGGAAGAACACCAGUGGCGAAGGCGGCUCACUGGCCCGGUACUGACGCUGAGGUGCGAAAGCGUGGG